rnacentral:rRNA from 1 species
CCUACGGGAGGCAGCAGUGAGGAAUAUUGGUCAAUGGACGAGAGUCUGAACCAGCCAAGUAGCGUGAAGGAUGACUGCCCUAUGGGUUGUAAACUUCUUUUAUAUGGGAAUAAAAUGUUCCACGUGUGGGAUUUUGUAUGUACCAUAUGAAUAAGGAUCGGCUAACUCCGUGCCAGCAGCCGCGGUAAUACGGAGGAUCCGAGCGUUAUCCGGAUUUAUUGGGUUUAAAGGGAGCGUAGGUGGAUUGUUAAGUCAGUUGUGAAAGUUUGCGGAUCAACCGUAAAAUUGCAGUUGAAACUGGCAGUCUUGAGUACAGUAGAGGUGGGCGGAAUUCGUGGUGUAGCGGUGAAAUGCUUAGAUAUAACGAAGAACUCCGAUUGCGAAGGCAGUUCACUGGACUGCAACUGACACUGAGGCUCGAAAGUGUGGGUAUCAAACAGGAUUAGAUACCCGUGUAGUC